CUUUACGUCAAGAUUCCUUUAUGUACUCAUCCAUGAUUUUACUUUCUUGUGGGGAUAGGGCAUAUACUGCUCCUUUAGGAGGCAUAGCCCCGAGCAACAGAUCAAUGAAACAAUCAUAAGAUCUGUGUAGAUGAAGAGCAUUAGUCUGGCUUUUACUAAACGCCUCUCUAACCUCCCAAUACUGUAUGAAUUUCGAGAGUCGG